UUGGAGGGCAAGUCUGGUGCCAGCAGCCGCGGUAAUUCCAGCUCCAAUAGCGUAUAUUAAAGUUGUUGCAGUUAAAAAGCUCGUAGUUGAAUUUCGGGAUUCAUCCGUUGGUCGGGCUUCACGGUCCGUACUGGUGUGAUGGGUUCCUACCUUCUGAAUAACCGGCAUGCCAUUAAUUUGGUGCGCCGGGGAAGCAGAACUAUUACCUUGAAAAAAUUAGAGUGCUUAAAGCAGGCAAGUGCCUGAAUAGGUUAGCAUGGAAUAAUAAAAUAGGACGGCAUGGUUCUAUUUUGUUGGUUUCUAGGAUCACCGUAAUGAUUAAUAGGGAUAGUUGGGGGCAUUAGUAUUCAAUUGUCGGAGGUGAAAUUCUUGGAUUUAUUGAAGACUAACUUCUGCGAAAGCAUUUGCCAAGGAUGUUUUCAUUAAUCAAGAACGAAAGUUAGGGGAUCGAAGACGAUCAGAUACCGUCGUAGUCUUAACCAUAAACUAUGCCGACUAGGGAUCGGACGAUGUUAAUUUUUAAUGACUCGUUCGCGCCUACGGAAAC
rnacentral:rRNA from 1 species